AUAUCGGCUAACUUAUAUAUAUUAAUUGAGAAAGAAUAAAAUAUUUUUUUUUUAAAAAAGUAAUUACUUCUAAAAUAAUUGAUAUUUAUGCUAUUUAUUUAUACUAUUUACAAAGACGUUGGCCCAAGGCCAGGCCUAAAUUGGGUAAAGAAAACAAAAGACAAAACCUAUUUCUAAACAAGAAAAAUGCAAAAAUUUAGAAACAAUUACGAAAGUAAACCAACAAGGUCCCGCAAUACACGUGUCACCCUCGUCGGAAUCUUUACCGGAGUUUGACUGAGCUGCCGGAGCUAAGGACCAAGAAGCUUCUGAAGACAUCUCCAGCUAAGUGAUGUUUCCUCUUCCUUUGUCCGUAAAUAUUUUUUAUUUUUGUAAAAGUCUUUUCUCUUUUUGAAAAUCAAGCUUUUGUGGGAUUUUGAAUUAAAAGGAUAAAUAAGUUGCCAGAUUAAGUGAGGUCGUUCAAAUUUUAAAAAUUAGGUGAAACAAAUAAUUUUUUUUUAAUUUUUUUAAAAUAUUUUUGCUCCAAUAACUUUGCACAGUUAUCGAAUAAUUUUGUAAAGUUAUCGAAUAACUUUGUAAAGUUAUUGAAUAACUUUGCAUAGUUGUUGAACAGCUUACAUUAACAAAAGAUUUAGUGUAUAUUUUCUAUUUCUAUAAAUUCUUUUAAACUUUAAGAUUUUUAUAUAAUGACAUAUCAUAAAUUUAUUAUUGAUUUUUAUAACUUCGUAAAGCAUGAUGUAAUUUACUAGUUAGUUAUUAAAUUUACUAAAAUAAAUUCAAAACUAUAUUUUAGAGUUUAUAGUUAUUCGAUAAUUUUAAUAAUUAUUAAGAUAAUUAAUAUAAUUAUUUAAGUAAUUCUAUUUUCUUUAGUUUAAUAAUAUUGUGAACUUAUCCGUUUUUGUUUUUAAUUAAAGACUUGAGGGGUCUAUGUCCUCAUAUUUCUCGGGUCUUUUGGUAGAAACACUCAUGCAACCUAAAAAAUCUUACAGGCGUCGUGAUUCUGAUCCAAAUUGAAGUCUUCUUCAAAAUUGAUAAUCGUCGAUGCUAUUGAUUGUUGCCUUCACAGUGUGAAUGAUCAGAUCUGUUGGUAUAUGCUGAUAUGAAGAACCCAACUCGGUCCAAUUAUCAUACCAAAAACUAGUUGUGCCAUUCUCGGGAUCCCAUCAGAUUUGAUGCUCUAGCUCAUCUCUAGCUUCAAGCAUCUUCUUUCGUAGUUGUUGAUACCAGCACGAUUAACUUGGAGCAUAGUAAGAGGGGCUCGCGCCCCCCCCCCCCCCCCCCUAUAUA